GUAAUAAUGUGUUGUAUUGUAGAUAUGUAGUGGUGUAAUAAUGUAUUGUAGAUAUGUAGGGGUGUAAUAAUGUAUUGUAGAUAUGUAGUGGUAGAGUAGUGGUGUAAUAAUGUGUUGUAUUGUAGAUAUGUAGUGGUGUAAUAAUGUGUUGUAUUGUAGAUAUGUAGUGGUGUAAUGAUGUGUUGUAUUGUAGAUAUGUAGUGGUAGAGUAGUGGUGUAAUAAUGUGUUGUAUUGUAGAUAUGUAGUGGUGUAAUAAUAUGUUGUAUUGUAGAUAUGUAGUGGUGUAAUAAUGUGUUGUAUUGUAGAUAUGUAGUGGUAGAGUAGUGGUGUAAUAAUGUGUUGUAUUGUAGAUAUGUAGUGGUAGAGACGUGGUGUAAUAAUGUGUUGUACUGUAGAUAUGUAGUGGUGUAA
ensembl:lncRNA